rnacentral:lncRNA from 1 species
CAAUCUCGAGCCUAAAUUUUUAAGUUUUCGUGAACUCGAGUACUUUUAGACUGUUAUGGACUUUGUCUCAGUGUUAAAGGAGUAAAAAGAGUGAAUAAAGGAAAGGAGGAAGACAAGUGGCCUUGUUAAGGGCAUUAUUGUAAAUUGUAUGACAAUUGGAUAAACUUUAACUAUAAAUAUCUAAUCUCCAGUAGCUUUUCUUCAGUUUCCUAACAACUUCUCUUCUUCUUCUUCCUCCUAUCCUUCUCUCCAUUCCAUGUUUCUUUGCACCUUUCAUGGAAAUAUCCUUUGAAACCUUUAAAACUUCCCCAAAUUAACUUUAUUUCUCAUGUUUUUCUACAUCUUUUUAUAGGGUUUUUCAUGCUCUUCCACUUUUACACCUCAACAGCCUUCAAAAGUCUUUCUUAAGUACAUUCACUCACUAGUUGGACGUGUAGAGAGAGAGAUGGAGUGAUUUCCCUUAUUAGAUUGGAAGAAUUUUGAAAAUAAAUUCAAUUACAAAUCCACCAAGGUGAGUGAACUUGCAUUUAAAAUAUUUUGGGAAAUGUAUUGGUAUUU